ensembl:lncRNA
AGAGGGGCCUGGUUUGCAAUGGUCCAUGAAGUCACAAAAAGUUUGACCUCAAUGAAUGACUGAACAACAUCAAAUCUCUAGUGUCUAUUAUAGGAUUGAGUUGCCAACAGAUUGGCCUGGGCUUAUGCUAUUAAGAGACAGUGAUGCAACAACAUGGAGGUNUGUGUGGGGAGAUUCUUUUGAUGGUGCCAGACGCUCCUUCCACC